rnacentral:miRNA from 1 species
GUGAAUUUGUUUUUUGCAGUCG